UUCAUCUCCGAGGUCUACGAAGCAUUGGGUUUGGAGAAGCACUGGAAAAACUUUUGGCAUAUCAAGCACGUGGAGGACAAGGUGAUUGUCCUCUAUAUCGUGGGAUUGUUUGGCACUGAGCCAAAUCAUUCUGAGGGGAGAUCCCGGCAGUUAAAUCUUGGCCAGGAGCUGAAAGAUUUGCUAAAUCUACCCUUUGAGCAUACUAUUUUCCGUCUACAUAUAUGGACUGAGUUGCAUUUAAGCACAUACUCAUUGGGAGGGGGUGGCGUUGUUGGCGAGAUGUCAUUACUUGUGGCAGAAUGCAGGAAGCUAUCAAAUUACCUCAUGUACCUUAUGUCAGUUUGCCCUUCAAUGUUGCCGGUAAGCAGUGUUGCUCGAGAUUUUGAGCCCCUCUUCUCGGAAUGGGUCAGAGACAAUCAUAACAACUUGACAAAGGCAGAAGUGUUAGAGAAAUAUGCAAAUACUGUACUGGUAGGCAGCUCUCCCUUCAGAGACACACCUGCUUCCGUGGAAACCCUCAAGGAUUUGAAGGAGGUGUGGGCG
rnacentral:rRNA from 1 species